CCAGGAGUUCUGGGCUGCAGUCGCUGUGCCGAGCGGGCGUCCGCGCUAAGGCCGGCAUCAAUAUGGUGAGCCCCGGGGAGCCGGGCCGCACCAGGUUGACUAAGGAGGGGUGAACCGGCCCAGGUCGGAGACGGAGCAGGUCAAAGCUCCCGUGCCGGUCAGUAGCGGGAUCGCGCCUGUGAAUAGUCACUGCAGCGUAGCCUGG
rnacentral:SRP_RNA from 1 species